ACGCUUCGACUUCGCGAACCGCUGACAGUCCCUCGCUAUUGCCUGAACGCUUAGCUUGCCCGCCGAAGCUUUCUCAGAUUCAGUGUGUUCCGAGGCGUAUUAUGUAUAUACACUAAAACUAAAGCCUCCUCCACUCUAUUUGUAUUUCGAUACGGAUUUGUAACGCGUGUAGGUAUCGAGGUGUACUGUCUCUCUAUUUUGGACGUAGCGAUUAACUCUCUUCCGCUUCAUCCGAAUCAACAACGGCGAUAUUUUUGUACUAUAUCUCCUGAGACGAUACAACGUGCUUGUUCCACCGGGUUUUUCAAGUGACUUGUGCAGGAUUUUUUCUUGGUGAAAUAUUCAAUUGUUCCAGUCCAACGCUUCUGAUUUUCUGAGGAUAUCGUAUUGAUAAUAACGAAGACUUCUGGUCAACGCAUCAUCAUCUUCAGUAGAUAAGAGACCAUGCGCUAGAUUCCUUCUCUUCAA